rnacentral:rRNA from 1 species
AUACGUAGGGGGCGAGCGUUGUCCGGAUUUAUUGGGCGUAAAGGGUGCGUAGGCGGCCUUGUAAGUCAGAUGUGAAAGAUCAUGGCUUAACUGUGGUAAGCAUUUGAAACUGCAGGGCUUGAGUACAGGAGAGGAGAGUGGAAUUCCUAGUGUAGCGGUGAAAUGCGUAGAUAUUAGGGGGAAUACCAGUGGCGAAGGCGACUCUCUGGACUGAUACUGACGCUGAGGCACGAAAGCGUGGGGAGCAAACAGGAUAAGAUACCCUGGUAGUCCGCGCUAUAAACGAUGAGCACUAAGUGUCGGAUGAAUUUUCGGCGCUGCAGUUAACACAAUAAGUGCUCCGCCUGGGGAGUACGGUCGCAAGACUGAAACUUAAAGGAAUUGACGGGG